GACGAACGCUGGCGGCGUGCUUAACACAUGCAAGUCGAACGGAAAGGCCUCUUUCGGGGGGUACUCGAGUGGCGAACGGGUGAGUAACACGUGAGUAACCUGCCCUUGACUUUGGGAUAACUUCAGGAAACUGGGGCUAAUACCGGAUAGGAGCUCCUGCUGCAUGGUGGGGGUUGGAAAGUUUCGGCGGUUGGGGAUGGACUCGCGGCUUAUCAGCUUGUUGGUGGGGUAGUGGCUUACCAAGGCUUUGACGGGUAGCCGGCCUGAGAGGGUGACCGGCCACAUUGGGACUGAGAUACGGCCCAGACUCCUACGGGAGGCAGCAGUGGGGAAGAUUGCACAAUGGGUGGAAGCCUGAUGCAGCAACGCCGUGUGCGGGAUGACGGCCUUCGGGUUGUAAACCGCUUUCGCUCAUGACGAAGCUUUGUGUGACGGUAGUGGGUAAAGAAGCACCGGCUAACUACGUA
rnacentral:rRNA from 1 species